AACGAACGCUGGCGGCAUGCCUAAUACAUGCAAGUCGAACGAUCACUUCGGUGGUAGUGGCGCACGGGUGCGUAACGCGUGGGAAUCUACCCUUGGGUUCGGAGUAACAGUUAGAAAUGACUGCUAAUACCGGAUGAUGACGAAAGUCCAAAGAUUUAUCGCCCAAGGAUGAGCCCGCGUAGGAUUAGCUAGUUGGUGAGGUAAAAGCUCACCAAGGCGACGAUCCUUAGCUGGUCUGAGAGGAUGAUCAGCCACACUGGGACUGAGACACGGCCCAAACUCCUACGGGAGGCAGCAGUAGGGAAUAUUGGACAAUGGGGGCAACCCUGAUCCAGCAAUGCCGCGUGAGUGAUGAAGGCCUUAGGGUUGUAAAGCUCUUUUACCCGAGAUGAUAAUGACAGUAUCGGGAGAAUAAGCUCCGGCUAACUCCGUGCCAGCAGCCGCAGUAA
rnacentral:rRNA from 1 species